AAAAACUUUCCCAUUGUAUUUUAGUGAAAUAAAAAAAACCAAAAAAUCAAAAUAAAGAAACAAAAUUCUCCUGCCCUUAGCUGAAGUGGAGGCGAGCUCGACUGCAUUCUGGCUUCUCUACCCUGUCGCAACAGCCCUGAAUGAAGAUCUUCCUUGCCUGUUCAACUUUGCCCAGUGCAAUUUUUGCUUUGACAAGAGGAAUGAUUAAAGCGCUGAGUCUUUGGAGUCAGACUGUCUGGAACCAAAUCCCAUCUCUGUCUCUUCCUAAAUGCACGACCUUCGAGUCUUGCACUUUGCAUAAGGACAGCCCUACCCAAGGCCCACAGGAUGGAUCUGGAUUUAAUGAAGGCAAAGAUGGCAAUUCCAGGCUCCUUGCCAGCUACCCACUUUGGAUGAGACACAUAAUUCCCUUCUAGCCAAUGAAACAUGAGUGGAGUCUUUUGUCAGCCUGUGCAAGGGCUUGGCCAAGGAAUGGGGAAAGAUGGAAGAGGAGCCUCUUUUCCUUCAAUGUGUGAACAGUAAGACGACAAACCCUGAGGCUUUUCCCCUGAGCCUGAUUUACCACAGCAUAGCAAAAAAGAGGAAAGAAAAAAGAAAGAAAGAAAAAAGGAAGAAAGAAAAGAUAAUGAUUUUAAAGAAUUUUCAGCAAAGAAUUAUAUUCAAGGUCUGAGAGCCACAAGAGUCUAAAGAUAAAAGAAGAGAAAAAUGCUCUGGGCUUCCGACCUGUGACAUUCUGCACAGUCCCGGGGCAGAGAGCCAAGCCUCUACUGUUUUGCUGCCAGGGAGUUUAAUAGAAAGAUCUGCUCUUUGAUCACUGUGUGGGAUUCUGUGACUGAGGAAGAGCCCUGGCCCCUCUCCUAGCACCACCAAAGCCUCUGUAAAACUCUUAUGUGGCUUCCACCAGGUGGCAGCAGGAAACAAGGUUUGCACAAAAAUUGAUGUCUUGGUCUAGAGUAAUGAACGCAUUAAAAGAAAAAUGAAUUGCCACAGUCCUGUGAGAAUUCAUAUUAACAAACUCUGCUUUAAGAAAAUAAAGUCUCCUGUGAAAAUUUUUCUCAAGUGUGAGUUGUUGCAGCAAAAGAGAAAUUUCAACUUUCAGGGGAUCUUAAAAUCAGAAUGUAACAUUUUGGAAACAGACGGAUCUGUGAUACUACAUCUAUGGUCACCUACGGAGUGUCAGAUCCUGGUUUAAAAAGCACUGGCUUAAAUGGUGUUUACUUGUCUAAAUACCUAUGAAGACUGUACGGGGAGGAAAAAUGAGAAACAUCACAGAAUUCAGAGACAUACAGGCUACUUUCGACUCAUCACCAAACUCUUCCAAAUAUUUGAUUAGAAAUUUUUGGCACCACUUUGAUAACAAUAUUUGAAUAGCUCUGGAGUGUAACAACGGUACUAUGUGGUUGCUUUCCCAAGCUAUAGCCAGGUCAUAAAAUCAACGGAUUUGUGGAAUUACACAGUCUAAUCCCUCUAUUUGGGGGGAUUUAAAAACAAGUUCAGAAAAUAUAAGACUUUCCCUGUCAAUGACAGCAACCAGAGGCAAAAAUCCAGAUUCCUUUUCAAACCAUGUUGUUCUAUCUCUUUAAAAGUUAUAAUUUUUGUUGUUGUUGCUGAGGCUCCAUUUUUUAUCACUUGUAUCUGAAAGUGAGCUGUUCAAAUGUGCCCUGCAGGACUCUCUUACUCCUUCAGAGACUUGAGUAAAGUAGCUUUACUUCAGUAGAGCAAGUGGUCCUUCACUCACUGGAAAUCAUGUAUUUCAGGCAGAAGCAGCAUUAUUAAUUUUUUUUUUUUUUGAGAUUAAGUUUUGCUGUGUCACCCAGGCUGGAGUGCAGUGGCACGAUCUCAGCUCACUGCAAUCUCUGUCUCCCGGGUUCAAGCGAUUCUCUUGCCUCAGCCAUCUGAGGAGCUGGGAUUACCAGUGCCUGCCACCAGGCUUGGCUAAUUUUUGUAAUUUUAGUAGAGACGGGGUUUCACCAUGUUGGCCAGGCUGAUCUUGAACUCCUAACGUCAGGUGAUCCACCUGCCUUGGCCUCCCAAAGUGCUGGGAUGACAGGCAUGAGCCACCACACCUGACCUAAUUUUUUUUUAUACUGAAACAUCAAGUAAUCAAAUAGCUAUAGGACUUUGUAGGAAGUUAAGGUAAAAAUAUUGACAGUUUAGCUAUGAAAAAAUGGGAAGGAGAAAUAUUCUUUAGAAUACAUAACUCAGCAUUCUAUAGAACUUUCCGUGCAAUUUAGAAAAACUUUCUUUGAUGAAUUGUAAAAAAUGAUAAAAUUAUAAUCUAAAGUGAGAAGCAGAAGUUUGUUUAUACCAAUAAUUUAAAGAUGGGGAUGAGAAAGUGUUGAUAAAAAUAAGAAUGUUUCUCUGCCUUUGAGACAUCAUGGCAGAACAUCAUCUACUGUGUGUCAUUGGCCUGUAAACUAUCUAAAAGCUAAGAGUAGGUGUCUCACACUUUGCAUAUCAGAAGAAAACUUGGAGAAAAGAUAAAUUUAUGGAAAAAGGAUUUCUAUAAAUUAAUUUAGAUUCUCAAUUUUUUUUUUUUUUGAG
rnacentral:lncRNA from 10 species